rnacentral:rRNA from 1 species
AUUGAACGCUGGCGGCAGGCCUAACACAUGCCAGUCGAGCGAGCGGCGGACGGGUGGGUAAGGUCUGGGACACUGCCUGCUGGGUGGGGAUAACUACUGGAAACGGUAGCUAAUACCUCAUACCAUCAGAUGUUCCACGAGGGGAUGAGCUAGUAGGUGGGGUAACGGCUCACCUAGGCAACGAUCCCUAGCUGGUCUGAGAGCAUGACCAGCCAAACUGGAACUGAGACACGGUCCAGAGUCCUACGGUAGGCAGCAGUGGGGAAUAUUGCACAAUGGGCGAAAGCCUGAUGCAGCCAUGCGGCGUGUGUGAAGAAGGCCUUAGGGUUGUAAAGCACUUUCAGCGGGGAGGCGUUACUCGCAGAAGAAGCACCGGCUAACUCCGUGCCAGCAGCCGCGGGAAUUC